CAGCAGGGAGAAACCAACAGCAGGAGCUCUUAGCUGCUGGCUUGGAGCCAGGGCUUUCUGUCAAGGGGAUGGCUGGAAGCCGCAUCAGGCUUUAGUCUGCAAAGUGGUGCAGCAGAGAAUGCCUUCAUAGACACACCUACCCAAAAGAGGAUGGACAACAUGUACAGCCAUACGAAUGGGUCCUGGAACCAAACCUACCGCAGAUGCCAACACAGAGUUUUGGAUCUUUCAUAUGCAAGACAUGCGGAAUACCAAAAGACUACAGUCUCAGUGAAAGUUUCCUCAAACAGCACUUACACUCUUAGGAAUUGCUGCAGUCUGCUGAACUACUAUGAUUCUCAACCUAAAAUUCAGGCAUCAUUUAAUUUUAUGUUUAUAUAAGCAAGAAAAGAAAAGAAAAGGAAAGGAAAGGAAAGGAAAGGAAAGGAAAGGAAAGGAAAGGAAAGGAAAGGAAAGGAAAGGAAAGGAAAGGAAAAGGAUUGUUUGUGAGUUUUGAUGACUCCCACACUGGACCAUUCCAUCCUCUCUGUGGGAGAUGCUGACUUCUCUUUCCUUCUCUCUCUGCCCACAAUAGCCUCUCCAAUUAAACAGAGAUGUGAGCUCA